UACGGAGGGUGCGAGCGUUAAUCGGAAUGACUGGGCGUAAAGGGCACGUAGGCGGUUAAUUAAGUCAGAUGUGAAAUCCCCGGGCUCAACCUGGGAAUGGCAUUUGAAACUGGUUAGCUAGAGUCUCGUAGAGGGGGGUAGAAUUCCAGGUGUAGCGGUGAAAUGCGUAGAGAUCUGGAGGAAUACCGGUGGCGAAGGCGGCCCCCUGGACGAAGACUGACGCUGAGGUGCGAAAGCGUGGGGAGCAAACAGG
rnacentral:rRNA from 1 species